rnacentral:rRNA from 1 species
UACGUAGGGUGCGAGCGUUAAUCGGAAUUACUGGGCGUAAAGCGUGCGCAGGCGGUUUUGUAAGUCUGAUGUGAAAUCCCCGGGCUCAACCUGGGAAUUGCAUUGGAGACUGCAAGGCUAGAAUCUGGCAGAGGGGGGUAGAAUUCCACGUGUAGCAGUGAAAUGCGUAGAGAUGUGGAGGAACACCGAUGGCGAAGGCAGCCCCCUGGGUCAAGAUUGACGCUCAUGCACGAAAGCGUGGGGAGCAAACAGG